rnacentral:tRNA from 1 species
AGGGGCGUAGUAUAGUGGUAGUGCCUCGGUCUCCAAAACCGCGAGUGGGAGUUCGAUUCUCUCCGCCCCUGCCA